UACGGGGGGGGCAAGCGUUGUUCGGAAUUACUGGGCGUAAAGGGCGCGUAGGCGGGAUGGCAAGUCGGUCGUGAAAUCCCUCGGCUCAACCGAGGAACGUCGAUCGAUACUGCUGUUCUUGAGGAUUGCAGAGGAGACUGGAAUUCCCGGUGUAGCGGUGAAAUGCGCAGAUAUCGGGAGGAACACCAGUAGCGAAGGCGGCACUCUGGGCCGUGACUGACGCUGAGGAGCGAAAGCGUGGGUAGCAAACAGG
rnacentral:rRNA from 1 species